UUUUGACCUCGGAUCAGGUAGGGAUACCCGCUGAACUUAAGCAUAUCAAUAAGCGGAGGAAAAGAAACCAACAGGGAUUGCCCUAGUAACGGCGAGUGAAGCGGCAACAGCUCAAAUUUGAAAUCUGGCUCUUUUAGAGUCCGAGUUGUAAUUUGCAGAGGGCGCUUUGGCUUUGGCAGCGGUCCAAGUUCCUUGGAACAGGACGUCACAGAGGGUGAGAAUCCCGUACGUGGUCGCUGGCUAUUGCCGUGUAAAGCCCCUUCGACGAGUCGAGUUGUUUGGGAAUGCAGCUCUAAAUGGGAGGUACAUUUCUUCUAAAGCUAAAUAUUGGCCAGAGACCGAUAGCGCACAAGUAGAGUGAUCGAAAGAUGAAAAGCACUUUGGAAAGAGAGUCAAACAGCACGUGAAAUUGUUGAAAGGGAAGCGCUUGCAGCCAGACUUGCUUGCAGUUGCUCAUCCGGGCUUUUGCCCGGUGCACUCUUCUGUAGGCAGGCCAGCAUCAGUUUGGGCGGUGGGAUAAAGGUCUCUGUCACGUACCUCUCUUCGGGGAGGCCUUUAUAGGGGAGACGACAUACCACCAGCCUGGACUGAGGUCCGCGCAU
rnacentral:rRNA from 1 species